UUGCAUUAGCCUAGAAUCAUUCUUCUGCCCAAAGGUGAUGGUGUUUCGAAAGCUGAUGUGAUUUUGUUAAUUAGCUUCAUGAUAUGUUUUAAGAGUACUUUAUAGCGUGUUGUGUUGUUAGCCCAAAGGCGACUCUACAAUGAUGCACCGAGGCUCUUACCGUAAUUAGACUUAUAUGUUUUUUUUUUCAAGUUGAUUACGGACUAUCUAAUUAAUAGCCCAAGUUGAUUAGAUAGAUAUGUUAUCAUCCAUUGAUUGCAUG
rnacentral:lncRNA from 1 species